AUAGCAACGAUCGAGCAAGUUUCUUACCAUAUACUAAACUGUAGAACAAUGUCCAAGUUAAAACAUAAGAAGGUGCGCCAUCUAAUAUUUUAGCGAUCCAAAACUUAUAUCCGGGCUGGUAAUACUUAGUUAAGUUACCACGCAUUUUCAAUGCAAAGAGUAGAAAGGAGACGAAGAAGUAACCGAGUACAUACAGAGCAAGCCCUUCAUAUGAAGUUAAACCCAAAAUACCAGCUGCGCACCCGAAAAAACUAGAAGUCAAGUUUCGAACAAAAGAAACGACCUUUGGAUUCAUUAGCACUCAAUUAUAAAAUCCUUAAAAAAACUAGUACCAAGAAAAUCUAGCUCUGCAAUCAUUUCUUACCUGUUCAUUAUAUGCAACAUUUUCUACAACAAUUGGAGCGACGCCUUUAUCCCUUUCCAUAUUAGCUUAUGAACAAUUCUGAUGUUUAGUUGAGUUCACCGCUUGUAGAAUUAUAACCAAAAAAUGAUGGAUAACGCAUCUUUAUACUGCGGUAUUAACUACAUAAGGACUUAGUAGGAACGUAAUUUUUUCGCAGCUUGACGUAU